UAGGGAAUCUUCGGCAAUGGACGAAAGUCUGACCUAGCAACGCCGCGUGAGUGAAGAAGGCUUUCGGAUCGUAAAACUCUGUUGUUAGAGAAGAACAAGGACGUUAGUAACUGAACGGCCCCUGACGGUAUCUAACCAGAAAGCCACGGCUAACUACGUGCCAGCAGCCGCGGUAAUACGGAGGUGGCAAGCGUUGUCCGGAUUUAUUGGGCGUAAAGCGAGCGCAGGCGGUUUGUUAAGUCUGGUGUGAAAGCCCCCGGCUCAACCGGGGAGGGGCAUUGGAAACUGGGAGACUUGAGUGCAGAAGAGGAGAGUGGAAUUCCGUGUGUAGCGGUGAAAUGCGUAGAUAUAUGGAGGAACACCAGUGGCGAAGGCGGCUCUCUGGUCUGUAACUGACGCUGAGGCGCGAAAGCGUGGGGAGCAAACAGG
rnacentral:rRNA from 1 species